GUAGGCGGUGUCUGACGGGCCGGUUGGGGGUGUAAUGAACAAAGCUUAGUCCAGAAAUUGUUUGAAGGUGUUUGUAAUAUUGUUCAUGUUUAACAUAAGAAUCCACUAGACCUGUUUCAAUUAACCUGUGACUUAAGACAGUGUAGUUUUGAGCUGGAGUUUUGCGCAAACUGAGUUUGAUGCGGUCAUGCAUCUUACAAAUAGGGGAGGGGGUCUGCGGUCUCAGAGGGUUAGGGGAUUUAUUUUACUUUUCAUGUUUUUGUCACACCUUGCUCAGAGCUGACAGUUUUGUCAGCAAAAUCCGGUAGGGUACUCGAGACACGUAUGGGUUUCAAUAGUGAAGAUGGCUGAGCUUUCAAUCUUUUCGGUUAACAUCAGGGGGCUAAACGGACCGAUCAAACGAGCUAAAUUCCUGGACUAUUUAAGAAGGAAGAACAUAGAUGUGGCGGGCUACAUGCUGCUAUUCCCUAACCCUAACCCCUAACCCUAAUGGGCUCCCCAUUCAACCUGGGCUCCCUCAACUGCACAGCUUCCACCUGAAAUUUCAACCUUAAACAAUUCAGAUAUUCAAAAUUUUCAAAACACUUACAAGCUAGGCUGGACUAAGCCUAAUUUAAAUAAAUUUGAAUUCGAAGCACUUACCCAAUUUAAAGAGAAUACUGACAUUGUUAUAAAGCCAGCAGACAAAGGGAGCUCAGUGGUCUUGAUGGACAGGCAGGAUUACCUCAACUUAAUGACAGAAACUAUUAUAUUCCACUAGAUAAACCUAUAUAUAAGGACACUAUUCCUUUUUAAUUGAAAAAAUUAUACAAUCAUUAUAUGACAAAAAAAUUAUUAACAAAAAACUUACCUCCUGGGCAGCAAAGAACCUUGAAUGAGACUUUUUUUUACAUCCUACCAAAGAUCCACAAAUAGGCUCAGACUGGAGUGUACCCUUCAAAAUUCCUCCAGGGCGCCCUAUAGUCUCUGAUUGUGAUAGCGACACACGGCUGAAUUCAUAAAUUAUUAUUUAAAUCCCCUUUCCAAAUUACAUGAGAAAUACAUUAAAGAGACAUACGACUUUGUUGAAAAGAAUAAAAAGAUUAAGGUUCCCCCCUCUGCUUUCCUUUUUUCUCUGGAUGUGAAUAAUUUGUAUACAAAUAUACAAGCCAAUAUAAAUAUUUUCCAAAAGUACCCAAAAAAAAAAAAAAAAAAGACCAGACAAGGAGAUGCUGCAGUUGCUGAAGAUCAAUCUCACCAAAAAUGACUUUCAAUUUGAUAACCAUUACUUUCUUCAGGUUUGGGGAACAGCUAUGGGAAAGUUUUUCGCUCCCUCCUAUGCAAAUAUAUUCAUGUCAGAGUGGGAAACAGGGGCACUAGCUUCUUGCCAGAAAAAGCAACUACACUAUUUUAGAUAUCUGGACGAUAUAUGGGGGAUUUGGCAAUAUUCUGAAAAAAAGGAUUUUAAACUAUUUUCAACCACCCUCAAUAAUCCCAGACAAUCAGUCUCACUUAAAUACACACUUUGUGCAGAUUCUAUUGAUUUUCUAGACACUACAACUUUUAAGGGGGCAGAUUUUGCAGAGAAACUACAGUUAGAUAUCAGGGUCUUCUUUAAAGAAACCGAUACCUAUGCCUUAUUAUUCAGAAACAGUUUCCACCCAAAACAUACUUUCGCUGGAUUGGUUAAAUCACAAUUAUUGAGAUUUGAUAGAAUCUGCCCUAAAACGGAGGAUUUUAAGAUGGAGGUGAAAACAUCUUUUUCCUUCCCCACCAGCAAGGGGGAACACUUAUACCAUGCUCCGUAAAGCACUAAAGUACUUUAAAGAGACUAGACCAAUCUGUUUGGACCCUAUUCUACCAAUCAUCACUAAUUUUUCCUCAGCUAAUGUCAAUUUUGUGAGAGUGAACUCAGGAGGUAACAAUAUUUUUUUUAAAGGAUCAUAGAAUCAUUGCUGCCUUUAGAAAACAACAAAAACUUAAGUGAUAUCCUGGUGAGGGCAAAAUUAAGGACGGUAAGACGGUACACAAAGGCAGAGCACAAGGGGAUUUUUUCAGGCACUACAGAUUUGUGCAGAACCAAAGCAGUAAAGAGGUAUUUUGUACACAAAAAAACACAACUGUUUACUCAAAAAACUGUUUAUUUAAUCAGAUGCAAACAAUGUUCCAUUCAAUAUAUUGGGGAAUCAGGAAAUACAAUACUCACCAGAUUUACACAGCAUAGGUACUACAUAGGCAAACAAAAAAACGUACAUAUCGCUCUGGAUCGACAUUUUGUGGAACAUGGCUAGACAAACCUGAGAGCCACUCAAUUGGACUGUAAAACAGAGGAGAAAAACUGAAAGACUUUGGAUCACUAGACUGGGUACCCGGUGGCCCCGUCGUCUCAAUGAAAGGUGAGGUAGUCUGGAUUUGGCUCAUGUUUAUGGUUAGUGCAAUAAGUCUACCGCCUACGGCGUCAGAAUUCCAUUAUCUAACUCCUAAUGGAAACAAGAAUUGUCGGAGUGGUGGGACGUUUAAAAACAAUGGAAGUGCCGCCACUCCGACAAUUAGACGUCAAUGUCGGGGUGGGGGUAUGUCUGAAUGGAUGGCGGAACCCGAUGUGGCGCUCAUACAAGAGUCACACUUAUGUAAAAGAGAUGUAAAUCAUCUACAAAAUAAAUACUUUAAGGUUGCUGCCUCAUCUGGUGACUACAUCAAAACUAAGGGCUCCAUCAUAUUGCUGUCGUGGAAAUCUGCACUUACCGUAGACAAAAGCAGUAAAGACUCUUCAGGCAGGAUAUCUUAUAUAUGUACCACGAUAAGGAUUAGGAAAAUGGCCUUUGUCUUGGUAUAUGCACCGGCUACAUAUCUAACCAAUAAAUUGUUUUCUCUCAAUGAAUACUUUAUUUAAACCAGGAUAAAUCAGGGGUCAAUCACACGAAAGCCCAAAAACACAUAUCUGACAUGUUUGAAGCAGUUGUGGAAUCCCACCAUCUUACAGACAUGUGGAGGAUGCGCAAUCCUACUAGCAAGAAUUACACCUUCUUUUCCACACGUCACCUCACCCAUUCCCACAUUGAUUAUACUUUGUGCUCCAGUGAGCUUUAGGCAAUGUUCCACACGAUAGCAACAGAAACAACAAUUCUGUCUGAUCAUAAUGGGCUGAUAACCACAUUCCAUUGUGAUAUGUUAGGAGAAAGAUCUAGGAGAUGGCAAUUUAACAAUUCCCUUCUCCAGAACACAGCUUUUGAUACAGAGUUUAGAGCCAAGCUGGCGGAGUUUAUAUCAAUCAAUACUGGCUCAGUUUCGGACCCGGCGUACAUUUGGCAAGCCACCAAAGGAUUUAUUAGAGAUUGCAACGAACAAGACCCCCGUGACUCCCACGAGUACAAAUACAACUGCUGCGACUAUGUAGAAAAAGACUGGUGCGAUGACAAUGAAGGAGAAGAAGAGCCAGGAGACGAGUACAAAAGGCCAAGACUGCAUAGAAGAAGAAGAGGACCCGCACGAGGAUGAGGAGACGGUAAACAAGAAGGAGACGUUCAUCUCAUCGGUGUGGCCCUCGAUCUCAGCGCCGUAGCGCCGGAGAACGAGAAGGACACAAAGACCACAACUCCAGACGCACUACCGCUCCGCAGGGUUGGGGACCCACGUAGUACGCUGCCACGCGUGUCCGCGACAGUCUCCGUGUUCGACCUGUUUGUCACGCGGCAAAUGCGAGACAUCGUACUGGCCGCGACGAACCUCGAGGGCCUGAGGCAACUGGGACACGACUGGAAAGCAAUGGACGCGACGGACUUGUGCGGCUACCUCGGGCUGCUGAGGGCCAUUUUCCGCGCCACGAUGCCGAUCAAACAGUUCCACGAGUACUCGAGACUGCUGCGAUUCGACGACCGUGAGACCAGAGCCACCAGACGAGCCUCGGACAAACCGGCGGCCAUACGAGACGUGUGGGACGAGUAGGCACGGUGGCUGCCUCUCCUCUCCAACCCGGGCGCCGACGUGACCGUGGACGAGCAGCUGGUUCCCUUCCGAGGGGAAUGUCGUUGUCGUCGCGGUUAUUAUAAAUGUCGCGCCAUUUGUUUUCAGCAUGACAAGCUGCCAGAUCCCGCGACUGUGAAAGACAACAGCGGUUGUCUUUCAUAGUCCCUGUGCACGCUAAUAGAUUGAUGGGAUAGCAGCGCUGCAACGCUUCUGUGGUUUCGAGUGGUGCAUUCGCACGGAACCAGCGCCAGCCCACAGACGCUGUGCUACUACACAAUGUGCCUGGCCUGACUAGAGUUUGGUUUCUCCAGCGGCUGCUCAUCACAAGCCACACGGAGAGUUGUUAGUCAGACAGACUGACCGAGCGAGCCUGUCUGCACUGUAUGUAAUUUGCUGCCUCCGGAGCGCGUGUAGCUCGUGUCUAGGCUAAUUCGUUGGUUCUUCUCACCACCACCGUGGCACAAUUGUCUUGUGUGGGUGGUUUAUUUUUAAUGUUUUUCUUUCUCUUGUUUUUAUUUGUCUUCAUCUAUAUUUUCUUAUUCUUCUACUUCUUCCUCGACUGUCUUAUUGCUCUUCUUGUCGGUCUCUCUCCUCCUUCUCAUUCACAUCGUUUGACGACACGUCAAAAGACACCGACAACAAGGUCGAUGCUCCUUCCGCCUCUGCGACGCCGAGUCCAGCUACGCGUGGAACAUGCAGAUCUAAAUGGGGAAGCCCUCCGCCAGGGCGCCAGGGUGGUGCUAGGGUGAAGAGAGACAUGGCACAAUUGCAUAAUCUUGAAUCCUAUCAUUGGAGGAUAAGUCUGGGAGAGAAGUGGGGGCUUGGACUUGUUCCGUGGUAUGGAGUAACAUUUUUGGCAGGUCACAUUGACAAUAUUACCUAUACUUUGCAGGGCUUUGCAAAUGAAACGAUACAAUAUUGUUGUGAUGUUUAGUGUCUUCUUAUUAAUCAAAGGGGGAAAUGGAAUGUGAUUUGUAUCAUUUUUGAUAUUACUCUGUAUUUCCAUAUUAUCUUUAUGUUUGAUGUUUUAAUUUUCAUGUGUUUUGCAAAGAUACUGGUUGGUGUUUUCUUUUCUUCCAGAGUAUAUGGGGGAAUAAGCAGAAGGGAUUUAGAUACUCACAUAUGGACAAUAAAGAAUGGACUGGAGAAUUCUGAACAAGGAUACAGUGAUGAAAUGUUCAGAUUCCAUCGACACUACACUGAAAAUUGACACUGCGAAGAAGCUGCAGUGGACUACAUUCCUGUGGAUAUCGGGGUCUAGGCAGGGGUAGGUCCAUUGGACGGUGCGAUGGGUCGACCAACCUGAAUUUGGACAUUGUUUUGAUUUUGUUUUCUGAGGUUUUCACAUGUAUUUGCUUAAAUCAUAUCUCUACGUAAAUUGAUAAAGAUUUCUUUUCUAAUUGAGCUGGAGUACUAUGUGUGGCCGCCUCGGGCAGAGGGGCUGUGAGAGAAUUUUCCUGUCUAGAUUGUUUUGAUGGAUAUUUUGGAAAGACAGCUGCCGGACAGGUUUUUCACUCUCACACUCCAUAAAGUUGUUGUGUUGUUAAAAUCACACUACAAGGAACAUGUGUCAGAGAAAUUGUUCUUCUGUUGUAAUUUUAAACGUAUGUUUUACUCUCUUUGUUUUUCGAGACUUUAUUAAGUCUCGAAGGGUGGAAACAUGUGGUAUCUGGCCCUAUAAGUUUAAAGUCUGUAUAAAGCUCAAAUGUGCUGAGAAAUCAUGAGCACUGUGUUAGUGAUUUAAGUUCAAUGAUUUUCCUCUCCGCAGAGUGAUGUGUUGAAGAGGAUGUUCUAUUUGAUUCUGUGAGUAGGUGACUGAGUGGGAUCAAUGAUUUUAUGUGUAGUGUUGGAGCCCCCCAAAGAGACUCUGACCUCAAAAGGGACUUAGACCUUUACUUGCCAACUCACAUCUGUUUAUUUUAUGUUACCUAAACGUACCCCUUAUAACCCUGUUCUUGCUGCAGCAAGUCAGAGUGCAUAUUGGCGUUGUACUCUCCGGGUUCUGCAGGACUCGUCAUUGAUGCUGAAAAACUUGAUGUAAUAAAACCUUUAUGAUCAA